rnacentral:misc_RNA from 1 species
UCUCCGUUGGUGAACCAGCGGAGGGAUCAUUACAGGACUCGCAAGACUCCUACAACCCUGUGAACUUAACUAUAAGCAUGUUGCUUCGGCGGGUGUCUCGGAGGGGGUUCUCCCUCCCCGAGACGCUAAACCCGCCGGCAGCCUACUAUACUCUGUCUCUUUGCGUUGGCAUCUCGAGUACAAUCAAACAAGUUAAAACUUUCAACAACGGAUCUCUUGGUUCUG